CCUACGGGAGGCAGCAGUGAGGAAUAUUGGUCAAUGGACGAGAGUCUGAACCAGCCAAGUAGCGUGAAGGAUGACUGCCCUAUGGGUUGUAAACUUCUUUUAUAAAGGAAUAAAACGAGGCACGUGUGCCUUUUUGCAUGUACUUUAUGAAUAAGGAUCGGCUAACUCCGUGCCAGCAGCCGCGGUAAUACGGAGGAUCCGAGCGUUAUCCGGAUUUAUUGGGUUUAAAGGGAGCGUAGAUGGGUUGUUAAGUCAGUUGUGAAAGUUUGCGGCUCAACCGUAAAAUUGCAAUUGAUACUGGCAGUCGUGAGUACAGUUGAGGUAGGCGGAAUUCGUGGUGUAGCGGUGAAAUGCUUAGAUAUCACGAAGAACCCCGAUUGCGAAGGCAGCUUACUAAACUGUGACUGACAUUGAUGCUCGAAAGUGUGGGUAUCAAACAGGAUUAGAUACACCUGUAGUC
rnacentral:rRNA from 1 species